rnacentral:lncRNA from 10 species
CUGACUAUCAGGCUUUGGACUAUACUUUGGGCUUUCCUGGGUCUCUUACCUGGCAGACAGCAGAUUUUGGAACUUUUCAGCCUCCAUAAUCAUCAACUCUGUGAGGGAUUGUUAUCUCCAUUUUAUGGAUGAGGAAGCUGACUCUGAGAGAUGACUUUCCAAAUUCAUCCAACUGGAAGAAAAAGGAAGUCUCUGGGGACUUGAAUCCAGAACUGUCCAGCUCCAAGUCCAGGGCUCACUCUAUUAAGCCACUCCAUGAGGAAUGAGUCCCUAAGGAGGCCACAGAAGGCCCUAAGCCCUCUUUUGUUCUCUGGAAGAGAGUGCCAUUUCUUGGCCCUUCCCAAGGCCUUGACAACUGAAGUUCCCAGAAGAACCACAAAGCAUAAAUUUCCCCAAAAGGGGAAUUUUGUUGAUGGCUUUAGUCUAUUCCCUCCUAAAAGACCAGCUACAACCAAAUGAAGUGAACAUAACCUCAAGGGUGUAUUGUCUUCAUAAUAAAAGAUGAAGCUUAGAA